rnacentral:tRNA from 1 species
AGUUGUUUAGCUUAUAAUAAAGCAAGUAUUUUGAAAAUACUAGAAAGAUUUAAUUUAAUAACUU